rnacentral:misc_RNA from 1 species
UCGAAUCUCGCCUCUUGCACCA